AUGCAGUCGAACGGUAGCAGGAAGGAAGCUUGCUUUCUUUGCUGACGAGUGGCGGACGGGUGAGUAAUGCUUGGGAAUCUGGCUUAUGGAGGGGGAUAACUGCGGGAAACUGCAGCUAAUACCGCGUAAAGUCUUUGGACUAAAGGGGGCGUUUGCUCUUGCCAUAAGAUGAGCCCAAGUGGGAUUAGGUAGUUGGUGGGGUAAUGGCUCACCAAGCCGUCGAUCUCUAGCUGGUCUGAGAGGAUGACCAGCCACACCGGGACUGAGACACGGCCCGGACUCCUACGGGAGGCAGCAGUGGGGAAUAUUGCGCAAUGGGGGGAACCCUGACGCAGCCAUGCCGCGUGAAUGAAGAAGGCCUUCGGGUUGUAAAGUUCUUUCGGUGAUGAGGAAGGCAGUUUGGUUAAUAGCCAAGCUGAUUGACGUUAGUCACAGAAGAAGCACCGGCUAACUCCGUGCCAGCAGCCGCGGUAAUACGGAGGGUGCGAGCGUUAAUCGGAAUAACUGGGCGUAAAGGGCACGCAGGCGGAUUUUUAAGUGAGGUGUGAAAGCCCCGGGCUUAACCUGGGAAUUGCAUUUCAGACUGGGAAUCUAGAGUACUUUAGGGAGGGGUAGAAUUCCACGUGUAGCGGUGAAAUGCGUAGAGAUGUGGAGGAAUACCGAAGGCGAAGGCAGCCCCUUGGGAAUGUACUGACGCUCAUGUGCGAAAGCGUGGGGAGCAAACAGGAUUAGAUACCCUGGUAGUCCACGCUGUAAACGCUGUCGAUUUGGGGGUUGGGGUUUAACUCUGACGCCCGUAGCUAACGUGAUAAAUCGACCGCCUGGGGAGUACGGCCGCAAGGUUAAAACUCAAAUGAAUUGACGGGGGCCCGCACAAGCGGUGGAGCAUGUGGUUUAAUUCGAUGCAACGCGAAGAACCUUACCUACUCUUGACAUCCAGAGAAUCCUGUAGAGAUACGGGAGUGCCUUCGGGAGCUUUGAGACAGGUGCUGCAUGGCUGUCGUCAGCUCGUGUUGUGAAAUGUUGGGUUAAGUCCCGCAACGAGCGCAACCCUUAUCCUUUGUUGCCAGCGAUACGGUCGGGAACUCAAAGGAGACUGCCGGUGAUAAACCGGGAGGAAGGNGGGGGAUGACGUC
rnacentral:rRNA from 1 species